UGGGCUUCGCUUGCAGCGUCCCGGGAGGGAGGGCCAGGAAUGCGUCAUUGCUGCUCCUCCGUGGCCUCAUCCGACACCAUGAGCGGCGGCUUCUUCACCACCAAGCGUUGAUGGCAUUGCUGACUCUAUUCUAGGCCUUCGUUGAUGCCUCCCAUGUGUUUUUUGAAGGUGGACAUAAGCCGACCUCAGUCUGGGGCUCAGUCAGGCCCACUGCCAUGUCUUGUCCUCCUGAAGCCUCCACCUGCCACCCCAGGUGUGACAAGGCCGUCCCACUUUGGCUGGUGGGGAUGUGAGCUCUUCCCAGACACACCCGGAUUGGACAGUGAUGUUGGCUUGGGACCCCUUCGCUCCAGCUCCAUUUGUGGAGCUCCUGGGCCCCAUCACUGUGCUUGCCCAGAAAGCAGCCUCGUCUUGCUCACCACACAUGUUCUGAAGAUGUUGUCUCCUGGAAGAAACGUGUUUUUCAGUCUUCAGGCUUAUCCAUUGCAGAGCUCCAGGGAACACCUUCACACCUCCUCCCAGAAAACACACUGUGAGCAAACCCUGGUGUUGUCUGCAGUGGGUCUUCCUGUAGGGCAGAGGUGGGCUCUUUGACACAUGCCUUGAAAAUGCUUUUUCUAGUUUUCCAUUUGCCUUAAAGUGUU